rnacentral:rRNA from 1 species
AGCGAACGUUUGCGGCGGGCUUAACACAUGCAAGUCGAACGAGAAUCCCUUCGGGGAGGAAAGUGGCGCACGGGUGCGUAACACGUGGAUAACCAACCCAUUGGUUUGGGACAACACCGGGAAACUGGUGCUAAUACCAGAUGUGUCGCAGCUGUCUUCAGGCGGUUGCGAGAAAGGCCCGCAAGGGUCGCCAACGGCGGGUCCGCGUCCCAUCAGCUAGUUGGUGAGGUAAUGGCUCACCAAGGCAAAGACGGGUAGCUGGUCUGAGAGGAUGAUCAGCCACACUGGAACUGAGACACGGUCCAGACUCCUACGGGAGGCAGCAGUGGGAAUAUUGCGCAAUGGCGAAAGCCUGACGCAGCCACGCCGCGUGAGCGAUGAA